rnacentral:lncRNA from 1 species
AGAAGAAUUCCAAGUAUCUUGACCAAAUAAACCCUCACAGCCAUUAAGCUAUCUGGCUGCACUGCUCUGUUCUAUGCUGUGCUGCUCUGCGCUGUGUUCUCUGUAGUGCACAUCAAUCCACAUCACUAGAGCAGCAUCGACUGCCACAUCAGCCUCCCACUGACCUUGGGCCACCAAUGGGAAGACUUCCUGUGUCCUGAUCCCUAACUGACUACAGAGGUCACUUCCCUGGGUUCCAGCAUUUUUGGCUCUGCCUCAGUCAAGGAACCUGUGCCACCAUCUUGAGCCCAGAAGACUGAGGGGACAGAGGCUCUGUCUCAUGUUGUAUUUAGUGGACAGAUUCUAUUUCAUUUUAAAGUGGAUUUGAAGCAGCUAACUUGUUAGUGGUUUGAAACCUGAAGUUGUCCUGUUAGUCUUAGUUGGGGUUUUACUGCAGUGAACAGACACCAUGACCAAGGCAACACUUAUAAGGACAACAUUUAAUUGGGGCUGGCUUACAGGUUCAGAGGGUCAGUCCAUUAUCAUCAAGGUGAGACCACGGCAGUGUCCAGGAAGGAAUGGUGCAGGUAUUGUUGACAGUUCUACAUCUUCAUCUGAAGGCUGCUAGUGGAAGACUGACUCCCAGACAGCUAGUAUGAGGGUCUUAAAGCCCAUGCCUACGCCCAUGCGCACAGAGACACACCUACUCCAACAAGGCCACACCUCCUGAGAGUGCCACUCCCUGGGCCAAGCAUAUACAAACCAUCACAGACAGGAAGAAAAAUACAGCCUUUCCUGAAGCUGCACAAACAUGAACGUGUGCCUGUAAACCCCACAGUCUGAGGUAGGUUGUGAGCUCAUUCCAGGAGUGUGUGCUGAGACAGUAACUCACUGUUUAUAAAGAGUGAGGAAAGGGAGGGGUGAACAGGAGCAGUUGUACCCUGUCCUCGGUGUUCCAUGGGAU